rnacentral:lncRNA from 1 species
CGAGGGCGGGCCGCGGAGUCCCAUCCGGGCUGGGCGGGACUUCAACGCGGGGUGCCGAGGCCGCAUGGCCACAGCCCCUCCCUGCCGCUUUGCUCUGGCUCCGCUGGGUCCCAGAGACGCUGGGGCCGGAGCUGCUGCCGCCAUCUACACCUCUACCCUUCGUUUGACGGGUUCGCCUCCCACCAGCGCCUGGGCAAGUGACAUCUGGGCCGGACCGGCUGGUGCUGCGCUUCGCAGCCUCCCUGAACAUA